CAGCCGUAAACUAUGCUCGCUAGGUGUCAGGCGUGGCGCGACCGUGUCUGGUGCCGCAGGGAAGCUGUGAAGCGAGCCACCUGGGAAGUACGGCCGCAAGGCUGAAACUUAAAGGAAUUGGCGGGGGAGCACAACAACGGGUGGAGCCUGCGGUUUAAUUGGACUCAACGCCGGACAACUCACCGGGGACGACAGCAAUAUGUAGGCCAGGCUGAAGACCUUGCCUGAAUCGCUGAGAGGAGGUGCAUGGCGUAGACGUCU
rnacentral:rRNA from 1 species